AAUUUCGGGGCCGGCCUGGCUCCCAAAAGGGUUACCCCACCGACUUCGGGUGUUACAAACUCUCGUGUGUGUGACGGGCGGUGUGUACAAGGCCCGGGAACGUAUUCACCGCGGCAUGCUGAUCCGCGAUUACUAGCAAUUCCGGCUUCAUGUAGGCGAGUUGCAGCCUACAAUCCGAACUGAGAAUGACUUUUUGGGAUUGGCUUGGCCUCGCGGCUUCGCAACCCUUUGUAUCAUCCAUUGUAGCACGUGUGUAGCCCAGGUCAUAAGGGGCAUGAUGAUUUGACGUCGUCCCCACCUUCCUCCGGUUUGUCACCGGCAGUCACCUUAGAGUGCCCAACUGAAUGCUGGCAACUAAGGUCAAGGGUUGCGCUCGUUGCGGGACUUAACCCAACAUCUCACGACACGAGCUGACGACAACCAUGCACCACCUGUCACUUUGUCCCCCGAAGGGGAAAGCUCUAUCUCUAGAGUGGUCAAAGGAUGUCAAGACCUGGUAAGGUUCUUCGCGUUGCUUCGAAUUAAACCACAUGCUCCACUGCUUGUGCGGGCCCCCGUCAAUUCCUUUGAGUUUCAACCUUGCGGUCGUACUCCCCAGGCGGAGUGCUUAAUGUGUUAACUUCAGCACUGAGGGUGGAACCCCCCAACACCUAGCACUCAUCGUUUACGGCGUGGACUACCAGGGUAUCUAAUCCUGUUUGCUCCCCACGCUUUCGCGCCUCAGCGUCAGUUACAGGCCAAAAAGCCGCCUUCGCCACUGGUGUUCCUCCACAUCUCUACGCAUUUCACCGCUACACGUGGAAUUCCACUUUUUCUCUCCUGCACUCAAGUCUCCCAGUUUUCCAAUGACCCUCCACGGUUGAGCCGUGGGCUUUCACAUCAGACUUAAGAGACCGCCUGCGCGCGCUUUACGCCCAAUAAUUCCGGAUAACGCUUGGCCACCUACGUAUUACCGCGGCUGCCUGGCACGUAGUUAGCCGUGGACUUUCUAGGUUAAGGUA
rnacentral:rRNA from 1 species